CAAAUUAUUUCAACAUUUUAUAUUUCACCACGAAAUUCAACUAUAGAAGUAGAAAACACUAGCCGCAAAAACAGCACCUUGAAAUAAAAUCUGUGGUUUGGUUUUCACUAAAAACCAUAAUUUAAAAACACCAUUAAAAAGCAUCAAUGGAGACUGUAAAUUAAAAUAAAUAAGUAUCAUCUUGUUCUUCAAGGCAUGUUUUCGUCAUCCUGGAACUCUUCCCUGUUCUGGUAUCCUCCCAUGGAGUUGUCGCCGUUGAACUCAUACGCAUUGUUUCCGUAGAAGUUUCUGUUGUUGAAUUCAUUUUGGCGGCGAGCGCCUCGCAAGGUCUCGUAGGGGUGAUUGCUGCUGUAUUUCUCGGAGUUAAGGUCGUAGUAAUACUUGCCGUUUUCCAAGUAGCGCGUGUCGCUCAUUCCUUGAGGCUGGAAGGAGUUGCGGCGGCUGCUGAAGGUGGCGGCGCCCUCGCUCUGCCCCUGCGGCUGGAAGGAGUUGCGGCCGUUGCUGAAGGUGGCGGCGCCCUCGCUCUGCCCCUGCGGCUGGCUGUUGAAGCUGCUCCCGCCAUUGUAGUAGAAGUUGCCGGCGGCGUUGUCUCCGUUGUUGGCGGCGGCGGGGUAGCUUCUGAACUCGGUAUCCUCCUCUUGCUGCUGCUGGUUGUUGUUGUAGUAAUUCUGCGCGCCGCUGUAAUAAUUGUUUCUGUUGUUGUCGUUGUCGGGAUGGGUGGCGCUGAAGCUGCUUUCCUCGGGGAAGGCUGCGGUGCCUUGGUUUACGUCAGAUUCGGGCUGGGUGACGUAGGCCACCGGGUUGUAGUUCUUGGGGAGGUAUUUGUUGACGGGUUGUUUGAAUUCGGCGGCGGCGGGGGUGGUGGUGGUGGUGGCUGCGGUGGAGGGAGGGUUUUGGCCGGACUCGUGGCCGUAGAGGCCGUAGCUGUUCUCGUUUUCCGGGAGGAAAUUGGGCUCUUGCUGAUUGGUGGAAGCUUCUUUGUUGUUGGGGACAACAACGUUGUUGGUGGUGCUGGGGAUUUUGUUGAAGAACUGGCUGUCUCUUGCAUGGAUAUGCAGAGAGGAGAAGAGGGUGAGGAGGAGGAAGAGGGAGAGUUUCAUGGCGGGGGAAGCCAUUGCAGGAUGAGAGAGAGAGAGAGAGAGAGUGUAUAGUGUUGUGAACUUGGUGUGGUUUGUGUUUUUAUAGAUGGGAAGCUCUGCCUCUGCCUUUGUGAGUGUGUGAGUGAGUGAGUGAGUGUGUUAUGAACUUUUAAAAUUUCAACCGAUUUGGUGGAAAUGGGAGAGGAUUAGGUCAUUAUAGCACAAAUAAGACUUAUUUAAUUGCGUUUUGUGCGCGUAUUUAUUUCCAUAAUUUCCUCUGUAGUGAAUAUUAAUUUAUUAUUAUAUCUGCGCCUGUGAGCACUCCCCACAGUAAGUAUGGGCGCAAUCAAUAAAUUCAACUUUUAUGGAGAAAAUAUAACGUACAAUGGAUGGUAAUGUAUGAAACAAGCAUACCACAAAAGCUUCACGUUUCAUUAUUAUAAGGAUACACCACCCUGCUUAAUGUAUCAAUAGUUUACUGAUAAUGUUAAUCUACAUAUAUAACCAACUAAUUUUCCAAAAAAGAAAGAACAUCAUUCGGAAUGUCCAUAGAAUCAGGUCGUGGAAUUGUUAGAUUUUGUAAAUUAUACUCCAGAAAAUAACAAAUAAACUGGCACAUUGAUUAAUGUCAUAAUGUGAAAAGGAAAAUUACUAUCACAUGUGCAAGUAUGUUGAUCAUACAUGAGGUCAAAGGUCUCGAAUUUUAAAUUUAUUUAUUUACGUAUGUUGAUCUAAUAAUAAAAUAGUUAAUAUAUGAGAUCGUCCCGAUCUUUAAAAAUUUAUGUAUCUUUAACUAAAAAUAAAGAAAGUUAGGUUCUCGUAUUGUUAUCAAUCAGUCAUUUGGAUUUUCGUUCUAAUUUAGUAAGACCUGGUUAUCAUGGUACAUUUAAUGCGCAUUAAUAAAAUUAAUUGUAAACCAAGUAAAAAAAAAACUUAUAAACCAAAUAGCAUUUUAUUUUUAGUUAAUUUAAAAGGUAAAAUAUUAUUUUAUUCCAACAGUAUAAAAACAUUUGCAUAUUAAAUCAAGAAAACUUAUGAAAUAAUAUGGACAUUUUAUCGUAUGAAAAAAUUUAGAUGACAACAGAAUUGACGAAUGACAUUUCUAUUCGUAUAAAACUAAUUAAUGACAUGGAAAAAUGGAGUGUUUUAUGUUUAUGUAACCUUUUUAGAGGGACGAAAAAAUAAUACAAGGUCAAGGUUGUUGUUUCUUUCUCUUAUUUAAAGUGGAAAAUAACUAAAAAUUGCUCUUUAAUUAAAAUAAAUAAAUAAAAAGCAAUUUCUUUGUGAUUCACCAAGUGUACAGUCCUACUGCUGCAAUAUGAUGAGAAUUGUUCUAUUCUUCCAUGAACAAAAGGAUCAAAACCUUCCACACCCCCCCCCCCCCCCCCCCCCCCCCCCCCUCCCCCCCCAACCCACCCUCACACCAUGUAAUCUGUUUAAUCGAUGACAAGUUUCACUUGAUUAAAAACCCCUUUAGUUUUAUUUGAACAAAACUACCAUGCACGAAUCCAUUUAUGAACUAGCUCGAUCGUAUUACACUUGAACCUUAUUAUUUAUUUAAUGAGUAUAUAUCUAAGAGUAAGUGAAUUUAAUAGAUAUAUUUAAAUAGUAAAUAAAGAUUGGAAUCAAAAUUGCAGGUUUCCUAUCAAAGGCGGGAGCAGCGUUGAGCAAUAAAUGUAUUCACAUCUUUAGGUGGAUUCUGCGUAUGAUGGAUAAUUCCAUAAAUAACUCGAAAAAAAAAUAGAAAUUCCAAAAAUUCGGGAAAAGUGGGUAGAAUAGACAAUAGAGGAGAGUAGUCAUGCGUGGAUUGUGGGUGGAGUGGGUGGGACAUGAAAAAUUAUAGUCCUACACUAACCAUGUGCCUCUUCAAAUAUUAAGGGUUAUACCAAACUCUUCUUUACACUUAUGGAAUUGAUUUUGAUGGGGGGCCUCCACACUCAUUCACAAAUUGCAUGCCUAUACCAACAUUUCACAAAUAUGGGGGUCCCCACCCACACAAAUCACACAUUACAUAUGGUUUUAAAUUAAAUGAUUCACUCUAAUUACACUACAUAUAUUAGUCCUAAGUCUCAUAGCCACUACAUUUUUAGAAAACCCAAUUUUUGCUAUGCUAAAUGUUCUAUUCACUUACCAUAUGUUAUAGCAUAGUGAAUAGUGUUUUUGGGGAAAUGGAUUUGACAAGUUUAAAUUUUAUACUUCCUCCGCCUCAUAGUCACGUCUCAAUUACUAUACUCAGAUGUCCCACUAAUAAGGUUCCAUAUUUUUUUCAACAAAAAAAUUACUUAUUUAAAAUGUUGCUAAUAGUGAACCCAACACACUUUAUACACCACAGAAUUGUUUACUUCAAAGGAUUAUGCUUGAUAAAUAAAAAUAGUAAGACUAAUCUCUUUGAUAAAUAAAAAUGUUGCUUGAUUAUUUCUGUCAUUUAAACUAAUUUUACUUGAUUCAUUGGGAUUGGAGAAAUCAUACGAUAAAAAUACUCGAUAGUGCAUCUUUUGAAUCACACAAAAUAAACACCCUCAACUCACUUAAAAUAAUCCUUAAAUACCUUCUACCAACUCACUUUAUACAUUCUUUUUAAACUACACUUUUCUUAAUCUUCUUGCCAAAAAGUAACGAGACGACAUUACUAAUGAGACAAAUGAAGUAUUUUGUUUUGUUCUAAAAAAAUAAGAUUGUUCUUAUAUUAUCAAGUAGGACAAUAUUCGUAUAGUUGUAUGUUAUAUGAUGGUGCAUUUAUAUAAUUGUUAAUUAAUUCUUAAAAGUUUUGUAACUCCUAAACUUACAUCAUUUAUUAGUAUUAUGAAAAAGACUCACAUUAUUACAAUUACAAUACUCUUUAAAUUUCGACAAUCAGUUAGAUUUUUCGUUCUUAGAUAAUUCUACUCAUUCUAGAUUUAAACAUGAUAAAUUCAUUGGACAUUAUAUGUCCAAGUAAAAAAUGUAUUCCUAUUUCUUAACUUAAUAAUAUGUAUAUAUAAAUGUAUAACUUUCCCAUAAUCUUUCAUCUACUAUGUUAAUUGAUACACACCAACUCUACCAGCCCCCUCUGUCUUCCUAGACCACCGUGUACUUUUCUUUCUUCUUUGGGCUCAAGUAAUAAAUGUUUUCAACUAUGAUUUUAUCACUAUUUAUGUUUUUAAGUUAAUGACUUUUAAUUCGAUGGGUUGCCCCUUUUAUGUUUGGUUCUAUUAUGGAAACAUAAUUGGUGGGGGUGAUUUGAGAAAUUUAUAUUUCCAUUCAUUAUUUGGCUCAUAUUCAAUAUAUAUCCAACAAAUUAUUUAAAAUUUAGCGACGCAACUACUUAAUGCAUAACGCAUUAUUACCGGCUCGCUACUGCCACUUUAUGUUGUUUUCGUGCCUUGAAGAAUUGCAUGUGGCGAUAAUUAAUAAUAAUAAUUUCACAUAAUGAAAACGUCAAAAUUUCGGGUUGUUUUUUCUUCCGUUUUUAAUUAUUUGGAUGGGGUUGCAGAUUCAGCAUUAAGGGAUGCAUAAAUGAUGAUGGCAUCUUAUAUAGGUCUCUAUGAUCAACCUCACCUAUCUGUAAUUGUUUUUUGGGUAACUCUAAAAAAAAAUAUAAAAUUAUAAAUCAAAAUUAGUAAAAUAAUAAUAAUGUCUAUAGUGGGGCACCGUUUUGGUGUGGAGUUCGAAAGGGGAUGGUUAGUUAAUCAAAUUACCAAAUCACAUUUAGUUAGCAAGUGUUUGACCAAUCAGCCUUUCCAAUUUGUCAAACACCUUUACACAAUCACAUUUGCCUUUGUUUUUUUCUUGGGCUAAGCGAAAUUCUUGCGCGAUUAUCGGAAAACAUAAAUUUUCAUAGAAAUUGCAAAACGAGGCCCAUAAAUACCGUUUGGAAUGGAUGACAUGUCAGUGCCCCUUCCUUUUUCCUCGUAUUUCUGAAAUAAUAAAUCUAUCCCACAUUGUGACCACCUACACAUUAGUAUGAUAAGAAAAAUCUUAAUUUAUUUAAUUUAUUUUUAAAAAUAAAAAUAGGAGUUAGUUAUUUUACUAUAUUCUCUACAUUGUAAUUAUUUUUUUUUAUUUUUUUUACAUUUUUUAUUUUUAAUUUAUUUUAUAAUAAAAAUAAAAAGUUGCCAAAAAAUUACAAAAAAAUAAUUACAAUGUAGAGAAUAUGAUAAAAUAACUAAAUCUUAUUUUUAUUUUAAAAAAUAAGUUAAAUAAAUUAAAUUAUUUUUUAUUUAAGUAAAUUGUGGGUGGCCACAAUGUGGCUGUUUAGCAUUACUCUUUCUGAAAUUAGAUGGUUUUAAAUUGUAAGUAGUAUUGUAUAUCGUGUAAUACAUGAAAGUAAAAUAUACUAAAUUACUAAUACUCCAUUAUAAAAUGAAAAAUAAAAGUAUACUCAAUAUUUAGGUAAAUAAUUGUCUCAAGACACAAAGUAAUUGAAUAUUAGUGAGCCGAUGUUAUUACUAAUUGAAAUACUCCCUCCGUCCUGCGAAGCGUGACCCACUUUCUUUUUUGGGUUGUCCCACGAAGUUUGACCUAUUUCUAAAAAUGGCAAAAAAUUUACCCUUUAUUCACCUUUUCACUUUUUCACCUACCACACUUAACACACAAAAUACUAAUUUUUAAUUUCGUGCUGAAAAGAAAUGAGUCACGCUUCAUGGGACGGAGGGAGUAUAUACCUAUUUUAAAUAAAAGAGAGUAUGCAUAAAAAAGUGGGUAGUAAAAUGAGUCCAUCAAAUACAAAGUCUCGUAUGCAAAAGACCUUGUGUAGCUUCAAUUAGUGAAUUUUACAAUUUUAGGGUGUCAAAUUUUGAUCUUUCUUCGCAGCGUCCAUUCUCUUAUUCAAUUCAUAUUUUCAAUCACUCCUGAUCAAUCGAUUAUCAAUGCAGGGCUGACCUUAUAUCUAGGGGUGAGCAAAAACCGAACCGACCGAAAAAACCGACCAAAAAAUGGCCGAACCGAUCGGUUUUCGGUCGGUUUUUCCGGCCUGGGCGGUCGGUUCGGCCCAAAUUUUUUAGAAAUUUCGGUUUGGUCGGCCGGUUCGGUUUUCUCGAUUUUGGCCGGUCGAAAACCGAACCGACCGAACUAUUUAGUUUACUAGGGUUUUUUUUUCUCCCACUAAUUCUCCCUAACCUAAUUCCUCUCCAUUGCGCCGCACCCCACCCCACCCGCAGGCCCUCUGCCCUUCACCCCUACGGACAACCACCAGCCGAGCGCCGGCGAACCAGAACCCUAGCCCAGUCCGAGGCAGCGCCGAACAGCAGCCUGGAACUCGCAGCCGUCGCCGCGACCGCGAUUCGCGAAGAACCCCAGCCCGCAGUCGUCGUCGCCGCGCCCAGCCCGCAGCUGUCGUCGCCGCGCCCAGCCCACAGCCGUCGUCGUCCACAGCACAGGUUAGUUUCGGAGCGGUGAGCCUUCCUCUGCACCGCCGCCUCACCUCCACACCUGAGCGAGUCGCGCCGCCGCCUCACCUCCAACUGUUGCUUCUCUGAGUCGUGCCGCCGCUGCCAGUUCGGCUCGGCUCCUAUUCGGUCGGUCGAAAACCGAUUAUUUCCACGGUUCGGUGAUCGGCCGGUUGGUCUUUCGAACGUCGGUCGGCUCGGCCCAUAAAUCCUCCAAACCGUCGGCCCAUCGGUUUGCGUUUUUUUGGUCGGUCGGCCGGCCGAACCGACCGAUGCACAGCCCUACUUAUAUCUCAUAUGACCCUAAGCAUAAUUAUAAAUGAACCUUAUAUUUUUUUAUAUGAGCGACAAAGAAUAAUAUAUUAACAUAAUAUUUUUUAAUUAAUUAUUCAAGAGUUUUUCAACCUAAAGAAAAGAAUAGAGAAGGCACUAACAACAUUAAUAAAUUUGGGGCCCUAAAAACUAAUAAAUAAAAAAAUUGUGCCCCAAAAAAUUUAGAGCCCUAACUAGCAACUUGUUGAGCAUAUAGUCAGGUAGGGAUUUGCUUUGAUCGAUGCAACCCAUACUCGAUUGGAUAGCAUGAGAAGUAUAGUACUCCCUCCGUCCCAUUACAAAUGUCCCACUUUUCAUAAUAGAACGUCCCAUUCUUUUUUUGACAAUAUAUUCUAUAUCUAUACCUAAUAUUUAAACAAUUUUCACCAACUCACUUUAUAUACUGUCUAUAUAUUUCUUAAUCUUCGUGUCCAAAAGUAAUGAGACAUUUGUAAUGAGACGGAGCUAGGGAGUACGUACAUCUUAUAACCCUCUUUUUUGUUUGAAAAAAUGAAAAUCGUGAAGACUAUUGGUAUAGAGGAAUGCAAAUAAACAGUGCAACACAUGUACUAAUAUUUAAAGAAUAAUGAAAUAUAUAAUAUUAAUAAUAAAAUAAUUAGCUAAUAAAAACAUAUAUACGUAUUAUGUUAUAACAAUCGAAAAUUCUAAACACGAAUAGAUUUUUUUUUACUAAGCGUAAUAGAUAUAAUAACUUAAUAAUGGCAAUAAAUAAGACAAUAAAUGAAGGGAAAAAAGGUAAUUAUUGGAUUAUAGCAGGAAAAAAAGAAAAAGAGGGGACUUUAGUUGAUCGUUGUGCAUCCAACAGUGAAAGCUGAGCGGGAUACAGUUCAGAAGAUCUGAGCUGGCUGGAGUUAGGGAUGGCAACGGGCCGGAUCUGGACCGGGUCUGGACAAUACCAGAUCCAGAUCCGUUUUUAUAUACUAGAUCCAGAUCCGGAUCCAGAUCCGCGGAUCUGAAAAUUUUGGAUCCAGAUCCGUCAGAUCCGCGGAUCCGCGGGUCCAGAUCCAUGGAUCUUGUUUUCAAAUUAAAUUCACAAAAUUAAAAAGCAUAUUUACAAUUACAAGGGUACAAAAAAGAAAACGUCUAUUAACCCAAAACUAUCAAAUUCAAAUAACACAUGAUCUUGACUUCCACUUGUGUUACAAAAACUAUAUUCAUUAUUCAGUGAUGAGCCACUUUCAGUGAGUUCAGUGACGAUUCAACAGCUAACUAAGCAAGAAGCUGCACAGACAGAACCCCCUGACAACAAUAUGAAACAUGGCUCUGUUGACAAUUUAGUGAAUGAAGCAUGCAAUGAGACUAUUGGACCUCAACAAAGUGAUAACAAUAACUUUUAAAAAGGUUCAAUCCAGAGAACCGAGCUGUUGUUUCUCAUUUAUUCCAUCAAUGGGCAAAGAAGCCUGCGUUUCAUGAUCCCACGAGAUUACUCACAAAGGUUUCUUUUGUCAUUGAUGAACGUCUGCGUGCAAAAAAGAGUGCAAACAAGGAUGUUUUGCGUGAUUUGAAGUCCUGUUUAAAAUCUGAUGAGGCUUAUCACUAUGCUGUAUCGGUUCUGUCAUGGCUGCAAAUUCCUCCGGAUAAACAUAGCUCUGGUUCCUCACUGAUAUUUUCGCCAAGUUUAAGACAAACAUUCAUAAAUUUCAAAUAUAAAUCAAUUCAAAUCUGAAUCAAAAUUUCAGUCAUAAACAUGCUCAAAAUCAAAAUCUAACCUUUGAUUCAGAGCAUCCUGUGGUAGAGAAACUCAUGGCUGAACGACGGCGGCGCCGCGGCGGUGGAGUUUGGCGGCGAGCCGAACUGGAGUGACAGAGAGGCGGCGAGCCGAACUGGAGUCUAGCGGCGUGCUGCUGCUGUUCCUGCCUUCGCCGGCGACGGGCGGACGAAUUGUAGAAGGAGACCGGCGAUGGGAGUUCGUGCUGCUGGAGUCGGGAGUGUGCUGCACUACUGCUGUUGUUCCCUAUUUCUCCGGCGGCGGGCGGGCGAGCGAAGUGGAGAAGGCGACCGGCGAUGGAGGUGAGGCGGCGUGACUGAGGCCGAGAAGGAGAUGGCCGAUGAGAGAUGGGAGUGAGGCGGCGCAGGAGUGAGAAGUUGAAGAAUCGAGAGGGGAGAGAGAGAUGAAUUAGAAAUUAGGUUUUCAAAGUUAUUCUAUUUUUUUUAAAUAUAUCUAAUAUUAUAAAUAAAAUAAAUAUAAAAAUAAAUAUUAUAUUUUAAAUUAAAUCGGAUCCAUGGGUCGGAUCUGGGUCGGAUCUGGAUCUCAAAUGUCAAGAUCCAGAUCCAGAUCUGUUUUAGAAAAUGAGAUCCAGAUCCGGAUCCAGAUCCGCGGAUCCAAAAAAUUGAGAUCCAGAUCCGUGAAAUCGGAUCUGAAUCCACGGAUCUGGACCGGGUCCAGGAUCCAUUGCCAUCCCUAACUAGAUACUUUAUCAAACUGAAUAGUGUGGUGUGUGGAUUUGGUUAAGGUAGUCAUAGUCCAAUAUUAAUUGAUACAUGUCCAUGAGCAUGUUCAUUGCUUGUCUGUUUUCGACUAAAACACAAAGACUUGCCCCUACCUAUCAACACACCAGGUCCACACACUAUUAAACUAAUUUGGAGAAAUGUUAUUAGCUACUAGUAAAAUAUUACGAAUUUGAAUUUUGACAUAAUAUCGUUUUCUAGAUGAAGUUCUUUUUGUAUAAUUUUCAAACUAUUGUCUUUAUAGUAGGACACAUGCGUAUAUACAAUUUGUUAAAAAAAUCCCUAUUCUUGAAAGAUUUUAGCAAAAUAAAUUGGAAAAACCCAAAACUCAAGACUUGAAUCACUUGUGAUUGAUUUCUUGAGAAAAAGAUGGUGUCCAUCCUAGAAACUUUUCCACAAUGAAAGCAAGCAAUUAUGAGGCGCAGAUGUUGGUUGAAUGCCAUUGCCCCUUCUACUAAGAAAGACCAACUAUUUCUUUAGUCUUCACAAUCUUCACAUUAAUAUACAAGGCUAAUCUACUCGGAAUUUGCACAUGAUAUAGGUGGGAUGCCAUGGGAUGUGUAUAUAUAUCUACAAAUAAUUGUGCACCCUUCAAAUUUCUGUGUACGAAAACAGUCUCUGUACCAUCUUCUGCUAUUUAUGUUAAUUGAAUACUAAGUAGGAGUAUUAUAUACGGCAAAAAAGAAGAUAUCAGAAAAUUAAAUACAUAGCAAAUCUAAAAAUAGUAAAGAUUUAGAAGUCAGUUAUCAAUCUUGGAGAGAAACGGGAGCCCAAAACAAAAGCGAGAGCAAACAAGAUAUUAGGAACAAGGAUUGGAAUCAAUGGAUUAAUGUCGUUCCCCAGCCUUCUCCGUCUGAAUCUGGACCUCGCAUAUCUUCUCCUCUCCUCCUCGCCCACUCGGCGGCACCCACCCUUUGGCCACAACAGCGGCGGAGGCAAUUGAUAGGGGCAUUUGCACCGCCACGAGGUCUCCGGCAGCCCCCAUCUGCGGCCCCUUUGAUGAACUGAGAGAAGGCCCAUCUCAUGAGCGGAGGCGCCGAUGAGGCGGCGCGCCGGCAGAGGAGCGGGGGGUAGUCCCGAGUCGAGGUAGCGAGGGGAUUUGGGCGGCGAUGAAUAUCUGAGAGUGGAGCGGCGGCGCGUGAGUUGGGCUGGUUAGGAUGUGAGUCAGCGCGUGGAGUUUUUGCUCCCAACUCGUAUUGUCCAUCGUUUGUUGUUGUUGAUGUGAGAGAUAGGAUGAAACUAUUAAAUAUAAUUGCUAAAAUAUUACUGCUAUGUAUCUGCACGAUGCAAUAAAUCUAUGCAGCCACAUUUUGGUCACCCACACACUAGGUUAGGUCUCAGUCUCGUCGAUUGUCUACUAGUAUAAUUUUUUUGGUAGCACGAGCAUAUUACAAAUUUCAUUUUCUGUUUGUAAACAAUUAAAUUGUCGUCGAAUUAAAUCGUGCCACGUGUAAAUUCAUGAAUUAAAUAUUUAAUUAUAUUUUCUAUUUUAUUAAAUGGGAUUUUAUUCCUAAUUAAAUAGAUAUAUAUGAUUAAUAUUUAAUAAAAUGAAUUAAUGGGCUUAUUGGCCACUUAAGGCCCUAAGGCCCAUACAUGGAGGCCCAAAGCCCAUAAAGCCCAUGAAGCCCAUCUCUAAAAUCUAUAAAUAGAGGUGUUGGGGUGCUCAUUAUAACAACGUGAAGGAGCGGAAGAUCGAAGAGCAUAAAGAAUUCUCUCUAGUAUCACAAGUUGAAGUGGAAGAUUGAGGAGUUCAAAGAAUUCUAUCAAGUAUCAAGUAUUCAUCAAGUAUCCUUCAAAUCUUCAAGAUCUUCAAGGCAACAUUCAAGUAUCCUUCGAACAUUCAAGUAUUUGAGCAUUCAAAUCUUCAAGUAUUUGAGCGUUUAAAUCUUCAAGUAUCUUGAAGAAUUCUAUCUAGCGUUCAAGUCUUCUUCGAAUCUUCAAGUAUUUGAGCAUUCAAAUCUUCAAGUAUUCUUCAAGUAUCUUCAAGUGAUCAAACCUUCAAAUCUUCAAGUGAUCAAGGCGUUCUUACAAAUUCCAAGAACGAUCUUCUUCAAAUCAAAUCAAUCAAGUUCGAAAGCUUCAAGGCGUUCUUACAAAUUCUAAGGACGUUCUUCAAAUCAAAUCAAAUCAAGUUCGAAAGCUUCAAGGCGUUCUUACAAAAUUCUAAGGACGUUCUUCUCAAAUCAAAUCAAGUUCAACGUUCAAUCCAAAAUCACGACUUAAGUCCCUUGGAUUGGCGUCAUCAAAUCAAGUAUUUCAAUAACCUUCGAGCUUGUUCAAGAAUCAAAUGGAAGAGAAGAAUCAGAGGAUUAACUAGAGAUUGCAACCCGCAUAAAAUCUAUCUUCAAAUCUAUCAAAUUAUCUUUGUAACUCAUUUUGUAUUUUAUCAAAUUGAAAUACAAAAAUUUGUGUUUACAAAUUUUGGCACGCCCGGUGGGACAUCUCUACCUCUCAUCUCUACUCUUCACCAAAAAUCUUGAACUAUGUCUAUUCAAUCAAAUGCAGCUGCUCCAGCUUCAUCUAAAGGUUCUUCGGCAAGCGUUGGUAUGAUCACGCGAAGCAAAUCGAAAUCAUUGCAAGGAGUGUCCAAGCCGAUCUUUCAUCUUCCAUCUAUCCAUGAAGAAGAUGACAACUUUGAGAGAAGCUUCACAUUCCCCACUGAAAAUUAUCAACUCCAUGCAAGUGUCAUGAUGACAAACACUUCCACCAUGGAGGAACAACUCUUGAACUUGACAAAGAUGGUUGAAUCUCUAACCAAGCACAUCCAAGAGCAAGAUGCCCAGAUUGCAAAGCUUAAAGGAGAAAAAGGAGAUUCAAGCCACGCCAACAACGAUAGGGAAGGCGAAGAAAGCGAAGAAGAUGGUGAGAAUAACGAUGAAGAAAUCUCCAAAGACAAAUCAAAGAGUGAUGGAAAAAAGCCUUCAGGAAAAGACAUUCUCUUCUCGUCUGGUGGCCUCAUUCCCAUUGACCAACUCAAAGAGUUCAUCGAAGCAACAAUGAAGAAUAACUCCGAUGGAAGCUCCAAGUCAUCGUUAACUUACUCCAAGCCAUAUACUCGGCGAAUUGACAGUAUGAGGAUGCCUCUUGGCUAUCAACCACCAAAAUUUCAACAGUUCGAUGGCAAAGGAAUCCAAGACAACAUGUGGCUCAUUUCAUUGAAACAUGCAACAACGCUGGUACUUAUGGAGAUCAUUUGGUCAAACAGUUUAGUUCGCUCAUUGAAAGGUAUGCCUUUGAUUGGUACACCGACUUAGAAUCAAACUCAAUUGAUAGUUGGGAACAGCUGGAGCAUGAGUUCCUCAACCGCUUCUAUAGCACUAGAAGAACUGUCAGCAUGGUGGAGCUCACAAGUUCACGUCAAUUCAAAGAAGAGCCAGUCAUUGACUACAUCAACCGAUGGAGAAACCUUUGUCUCAACUGCAAGGAUCGAUUGUCUGAAUCAUCUGCCAUCGAAAUGUGUAUUCAAGGGAUGCAUUGGGGCUUGCAAUAUAUUCUGCGAGGAAUCCAGCCAAGACAUUCGAGGAACUAGCCACUAGAGCUCAUGAUAUGGAGUUGAGCAUGAUGGACAAGAGGGAUCGGAAGGACCACCAAUCCAGGAGUCUAGCAAAUUCAAAGCCAGAGUUCAAGAAAGGAGGAAAACCAUAUAGACAAAGCAACCAAAGAAGGAAUCAUGGCAGUGAAAGCAACUUCUGUGAAAUUUCUAAAGAAAGAAGUUAAUCAGGAAGACAACCAGAAUGCUCCACGAGACAAUCAGAACUCUUCCCGAGAUAUGGGGCAAAGAAGACUUACCUUGAAAGAAAUGCAACAAAGCAAUACCCUUUCUUAGACUCUGAUGUUUCAGGCCUUUGAAUUCAAAGACAAGCUACGAGUUUCCUGAAAAACAUCAAAAAGAUCAAAAAUAUGCUAGGCUAAAAAUGACAAACCAUAACUAAUCUCCAUCCCCCUUCCCCAAACUUAUUAAGGAGCGUAUGCUACGAAAAUAAAUUGGAGGAAAAAUAGAUAAAAGUUAUNAAAUCAAACACUCCUAAAUACGAGUAUAAACUAUUUAAAAUUUCAAAAUCAAAUAAAGAACUCCUAAAUACGAGUAUAAACUAUUUAUAAAUCCAAAGAAAUUCAAGAACUCCUAAAUAUGAGUGUAAACUAUUUAUAAAUUCAAAUUCAAGUCAAGAACUCCUAAAUACGAGUAUAAACUAUUUAAAAUUCCAAAGUCAAAUGAAGAACUCCUAAAUACGAGUAUAAACUAUUUACAAAGUUCAAGAAAAAAAAAAAUUCAAGAACUCCUAAAUACGAGUAUAAACUAUUUAUAAAUUCAAAGAAAAUGAAGAACUCCUAAAUAUGAGUAUAAACUAUUUACAAAAUUCAAAUCAAGAACUCCUCGAUAAGAGUUUAAACUAUCAAAAUAAAUUUCGAGACUCGUCUAUUACCAAAGACAUUUCGUCCAUAAACAAGUCUCGAUGGGGCAAUUUGUAGACAAUUAAAUUGUCGUCGAAUUAAAUCGUGCCACGUGUAAAUUCAUGAAUUAAAUAUUCAAUUAUAUUUUCUAUUUUAUUAAAUGGGAUUUUAUUCCUAAUUAAAUAGAUAUAUAAUUAAUAUUUAAUAUAAAUGAAUUAAUGGGCUCAUGGACACUUAAGGCCCUAAGGCCCAUACAUGAAGGCCCAAAGCCCAUAAAGCCCAUGAAGCCCAUCUCUAAAAUCUAUAAAUAGAGGUGUUGGGGUGCUCAUUAUAACAACGUGAAGGAACGGAAGAUUGAAGAGCAUAAGAAUUCUCUCUAGUAUCACAAGUAGAAGAGGCGGAGAAUUGGAGAGUUCAAGUAUUCUUCCAAGUAUUCAAGUAUCUUGAAGAAUUCUAUCUAACGUUCAAGUCUCCUUCAAAUCUUCAAUCGUUUGAGUAUUCAAAUCUUCAAGUAUCCUUCGAAUCUUCAAGUAUUUGAGCAUUCAAAUAUUCAAGUAUCCUUCAAAAUCUUCAAGUAUUCAAGUAUCUUCAAGUGAUCAAACCUUCAAAUCUUCAAGUGAUCAAGGCGUUCUUACAAAUUCCAAGAACGAUCUUCCUCAAAUCAAAUCAACCAAGUCCCAAAGCUUCAAGGCGUUCUUAUAAAUUCUAAGAACGUUCUUCAAAUCAAAUCAAUCAAGUUCGAAAGCUUCAAGGCGUUCUUACAAAUUCUAAGGACGUUCUUCAAAUCAAAUCAAUCAAGUUCGAAAGCUUCAAGGCGUUCUUACAAAUUCUAAGGACGUUCUUCAAAUCAAAUCAAACCAAGUCCCAAAGCUUCAAGGCGUUCUUACAAAAUUCUAAGGACGUUGUAAUCAAAUCAAAUCAAGUUCAACGUUCAAUCCAAAAUCAUGACUUGAGUCCCUUGGAUUGGCGUCAUCAAAUCAAGUAUUUCAAGAACCUUCGAACUUGUUCAAGAAUCAAAUGGAAGAGAAGAAUCAGAGGAUUAACUAGAGAUUGCAACCCGCAUAAAUCUAUCUUCAAAUCUAUCAAAUUAUCUUUGUAACACUUUUGUAUUUUAUCAAAUUGAAAUACAAAAAAUUUGUGUUUACACUGUUAGUCCGAGGCUCCGAGCCAUUAUUUCGUAGAAAUCAUGUAAAUUUGGUAACAAAAAAUUGGAUGGAAAGAUGAUAGAUAGGGGUGGUGCCAAUUGCCAAAGUAGAAGAGUUGGCAGAAAAUUAAAGAUGCAUCUCUAUCCCUCGCAUGUAAGGUUGAGUAGGUAAUAGUAAUGAAUGAAUUGCCAUAAAAUUUCUAACGACUUUUAUCUAUUUAUUUAUUUAUUUAUUUAUUUUAAAUGAAAGUUUUAAGCAGUGAAAGAGGAAAACAAACAUCAUUGAGAGUCUAAAAAUUGGCCCCCUACCUCCCAACCCAAUCAUGUGUUAUUUUCUUUGCACCCAAAAACUGGAGGCAAUUAAUGUGGCUGUUUGCACUCUGCCUAGUAAUAAACACACGUACGCUAUCCGUCGCUCCAAAUUCGAAACAUCCUUGCAUCAUCUCUCUUUAAAUCAAUUCCUUAAUAAAAUAUUCUUCUAUGCUUGCUAAGUAAAUUAAUAAAUGAAAAAAAAGGGAACAUUUCAACUCAAGAAUCUCGUUCACGAUGCAAUUAUUUUAAUUUACAAUUAGGGAAUCAUCACUUGAAACUUUACCAUCAUAGUUAAAUCCACAUCACAAUCGUGCUUAAGUUACAAGAGAAAACGUUAACUGGGUUUCUCUGCCUAAUUACCAUUAGUAGUGACUCGCUUAAUUUGGCUUGGUACUAAAUUAAGAAGUGGUCAUUAAUUUUAUAACGACAAAAUAUUGUAAUUAAACAGUAAUAUUAUAGUCAGUUUGCAAUUAGAGACUGAAAUAAAGAAAAUACAUCAAUAAUAAAACACAUCAAAUAAUAAAACUAUUAUCCAAGUUAACUCCAAGAUGUGAAAUUUCUAUUAGCUAGAUAAAUAAUGAAUAGAAAUCAAAUAAACAACAUAGACAACUAAUUGUUACCUGCUCAUUUUUCUUUUUUGAGUUGGAUAGCUUCUUAAGUAAAGCUUUAAUUUAUGAUUUUAAUUGUAGGGAAAAUUUCGUGGUAACUACUCUGCUUUCUUACAAUAUAAAUAUAAUGAAAUCGGUUAAAGAAAACGUUUUCAGUUUUCCCCUUUCAACAAGAAACUAAUUGGAACAGCUCUAUCGAAUUCUUUUUUUUGCGUGUACUGUACCAUAUAAUAUUAGUUUUUUUUUUCUAUUAUUUAUUAUAUUUUUGAUAAAAUUUUAAUUUAUUUUGAUAAUCUCUAAUAGAUUCUAAUGUAUGCAACUACUAUAUACUACCAUUCUAGUAUCUAGAGGAAAAUCUAUCCAAUCCAACUUGUAUAGAAAUUAGCCAAAAAUAGUCCAAUCGUGUAUGCAAUUAGGAAAUAGUACUAAAUUUAAGAACAAUCUACUUCAUAAUGCCGAAAUACAGGGCCGAAUAUUGAGUAGGCCGAAUCUGGGAAUUACAGCCCAAGAGACUAUAAAAAUCACAUCUUAUGCAAAUGAGGCCUACAUAUAUAGAAAAAAAAAGUCAAAGUGAUGAGCCCAAGAAAACGACAUUUCAUAUAUGAAGCAACACAACUUAUCCUCAUUAAGCUGUUUAAUUUAUUACAUUACAUUAAUUGGUGGUCUCGUUUCGAAACGAGAACUUGUAUAAUUCUAUGAGACAUGUACAUAUACUACGCCAACUCAUUAAUUUUGAACCCCCAGUUCUUUUGUUUUGUUUUUCAGCAUUUAAUUAAGAAAUUCUGGCAUCUAGCCAAGAGAGAAUGUGUGCGAAGACAAUGUCGAUGUUUUGAGGCAAUUCUCCGAUGGUGAGAGAAUGCCACAUGUCGGGAAAUAAGUGGAAAGUUUUGUCGGUGGAAGGGGCGCGUUGAUGGAGAAGUUGGGUGUGGGAGGGAUGAAUAACGCGAUCUUGGGCGCCAUGCAUAAGCAGGAAGGGUAGCGACACCUGCUCUAGUCUCGCCUCCACUUCUAAGCUCGUCUUCCACAGUUGUGUUGCAGUACCCAAACGAACACCACCUUUGUAGCAUAGCGGAUUCCUUCUCACCUGCAUCACGCCAUCACUACUUAAUUUAAUUCAUUUAUAAUUAUAUUAAGAUAGAUAUAUGCAUGUCCCUCAAAUAUAACCUUAUGCCUAUAUAUCCAUGCCAAUCAAACCUUAAUCUGGAAUAGUAUUAAUGUUAAUCACACGUUUCUUUAAUUUAUCUUUUAAUUUAAUAAUAGUAGUAUUAGUUUUUGGUGUAAACCAAACAAGCAACAUGAAAGUAAUCAAGACAAUAAUAGUACCUAGCUAUAAUUAAUGAAUACAUAAGGUGUACCUAGAUUUUAAAACAUCAUACUUUUUUUUUUUGAUAAAUUAACAAUAUUAAAUAAAGAAAUUUAUAGGUCGUGCUACAGGGGACUCGAACCCAAGACCUUUGGCCUUAAGCAUUAACCCCUCCCUUACCGCUUAACCAACACACGCACACCAAUACAUCAUACCUUUCGGAUACGCCAAAGUAUUGAUAAUAUAUAUUUAUUAUGUAUCUCCUUUUGUUUCGUUAAAAAUACCUUCUUUCUUUUUUUUGAAAAGUCAAAAACAUAUAGUACUUAUAUAGAUGAGUACAAUGGAUUUUCAACCCUUACACCAUGAGGAUAUCAAAAUUAAAAUUUACACGGAAGACAAUCUUUGCGUUAAAAAUACCUAAUGAUUCGAAGGGUUUAUUUGAAACUUGGAGGCAACAUUAAGGUUGUUCUUACCAUUAAUUUUCUCUAUUUUACAAGUGUUUACUUAAUAAGUCAUGGAGUCUUGAUGUAGAUACUAAGAAAUAAAUAAUUUAUAAUAAAAUUAGGAGAGAGAAAGUAACUUUCUAAGGAUAUAUUUGUUAUAAAAAAUGUAGGAGAGAGUGAAUUUUUUUUAAAAGAGAGAUAAUUAUUUGUAGGCCAUUUGAUGUAAAUAAUGAGUUGAAUAUUAAUAAUUCUCUAUUUUUGAAAAUGGCUUAUUAAAUGAGACGUUUAAAUAAGAAAACGUGACCUAUUAAAUUAUGGCGAAGGAAAAAAAAUAAUAUGACAGAAGGCAAUGAAUUUUAAAUACAACAUACACAAAUGAAGCAAAAUAUAAAGUUAAAAAUAGAUAGGAUAAGAAACCAGGAUUGAUUAGUGAUUAAGUACCUCAUCCCUUAUCUCUGGAACCCUGAAGGCUGCAUCAAUAACUUCUCCAAAUGGAGUAAUCCAUGUGGGGAUCACAUAACUAAGCAUGUCUCCAAUACUGAUCCACACUGGGUGUGGCUUCAACUCCUCAGCAAACUAGAAUUGCACAUAUACACCAAGAUGGCAAAACUAUUUUAAAAAACAUUUUGUCAUCUAAUUUUUGUAAGGUAAAAAUAUAAUGACAUCUAUAUUUAUGCAUCAGUUAUAGUACAUGACCUAAAGUACUUAUAGCAUCUCAAGGAUUAUAUAUAGAUAACUUUCAUACACAUUUCACAAGUUGGAGAAUAUAUUUGUAAUUUAUCAUAUGUACAAUGUACUCUAAUACUAUAUGUAUAUUGAAUAUCAUGUGGAUGAUAUUAUGAAUACCCCUUUUAAAGAAAAAGGCCCAGGAUAAAGAUCAAAGCCCAUUAAGAGCGAAAAGGAUGUUAUUUAUCCUCCCUAUAAAUUAUCUUAACUCUUUAUGCUCAUUAAGAGCGAAAAGGAUGUUAUUUAUCCUCCCUAUAAAUUAUCUUAAUUCUUUAUUAUUAUGGGGAUAUUCCUUUGAAAUUCCCUAGGCAUAGGCGACGCAAGCAUACCUGAAGCAAGUCCUUGAAGCUUAUUCAGACUUAGUGUUCGUUUGGUUCAAAUAGAGGAAUAAAAAUGGAAUGGAAUUAAAUGAAGGACUGGAGUGGUAACAAUAACUAUUACUUUUAUGAGUGUUUGAUUUAAUAAUAAAAAUGAAUCAUUAGUAAGGGAUUCCCUUUCUUUUAUUUUCCCUCUAUUUUAAGGGAUAACAAAUUGGGUUACCCUCAAGUAAGGGUAAUGGUUAACUCAUUACCCAAACCAAACAACAAGUAACAGAUUCAAUUAAUUGAACUAUUUUCAACCUCUAAAAACACCCAACCAAACGUGGGCUUAGUCACAUCUGAACAAAUAAGCAUGGGUAUGAAGAUAAAAGAGGCGCUAAAUUCAUCUACAAAAUCAAAGUCAACGUCCAUACACGAACAAAUCGAAAGGGGUUACACAUCAAUGGUCACCACCGAAGAUAGCGAUGAAGGGGCUUGGUCAAUAAACGACAAAGAAGUUAUUAUUGGUUGGGACACGUGAAGGGAUCUCAUUCGCUGAGAAAGGAAUCUUCCAAGUGCAUUCUAUUAUGAAAAAUAUCUCAAAGAUAUGAUGUCAGGCGAUGCCGUUAUCCGGUGCAAUACACGUGAAGACUUAAAAAGACAAAAUUACACCUCAACAUAACGCGCAACAUACCUGAGUUGACGAUUCUACCCCUCCACACAAAGCAGAAAAUACUAUUGUACCCCUAACUUAGGAAUGUCUAUAAAUAACCAGAGUUUUAUUGCUCACAACCGAUCGGGUUUCAUCUAAUCACAUCACAGGAAUCUUGGACAUUUCGAAUUCACGUCAGAUUCCCGCUAUUCCUCAGCUUUGCUCGCAAUUUCCACAAGGUUUAACUUUUCUCUAUUUCAUUUUUUAAUUAAAAUUUAUUGUGCAGAGAUCCCACCUAUUUAAUUGGAUACCUAGCUUGAAUGCUUGAUAGCGAAUUCUAUGUUAAAAUAAUGAAGCCAGUCCCACCUAGCUACUCGAAUUUUAUGUAAUCCAGAGGCACACGUAGAUAUGUAUGUCUAAAAGCAUUAGAAAAAUAGUAUGCGAUAUUUAUAACAUUACACAUGUUAAUAAAGAAGAAUAUAAUUAAGUUUUGUUUAAUUAAAAAAGAGUAAAUUUAGGUUUGGCAUGACCUUACACAUAGGUGCUACGAGCACAGCCAUAUCCCAAUAGCUUGGCGCCUUGAUGUGUAGGAGGAGAGCUACAGCGCCUCCCAUUGAUUCCCCCAUUAAUAUCUUCUUAAUCUUCUUGUUUUCUUGCGUUUCUGUAAAUUAAUUAAGAAAAUAUUAACUCCAAAACUUUUUAUCUACAAAUUUAACUUCAGAUAUAUGAUCCUAAUGUAAAUUAUUAAUCAGGCGAAGUUAAUUACCAUAAAUGGAAGUGAAAUGAUGGAAGCAGUCGUUGACAAGAUGGUCAAAAUUAGGGAUGUAACAUUGAAGCCCAGACGACUUGCCAUGGCCUUGGUAGUCAAUGCCAUAAACUGCAUAGCCAGCCUUUGCAAGUCUAAUACCGCACCCUGCAUUUCAUCCAUUCAAUUUCAAUGCUUAAUUUAACAAUUAAACAAUCUCUAAUCCAAAUAUUGAUUUUUAUUUUAUCUUUUCACCUCUCAAGGAGACACUGCACUCUAAGCCAUAUCCAUGGCACAAGAAGACUAAUCCUUUAGGCUCAGAAUGUGCAGGCACCCAACUGCAUGUGAAGAGCUUCAUUCCUCUCGAAUUAUAAAUGAAUUCCUGAAAAAAAAUAAAGAAUAACAAAUUAAUAAUGGAGGGCUUGCAAAUUAAUUUAUGAUAUAUCAAACCAUAACUAGACAAGUAGGAUUACCUCUUCAUAUCUGAAUUCAGUGCUUCCUGAUUCCUGCAGUAGAAUUUGAGGAAGGUGAAAUUUCAAAUAAUCAUAUGCAAAGAACAAAAAAAGAAGCUCAUGCAUGAUAUUGGAAAAGAAAAGAAAGAAACUUUACCAUGACAAAAUUGUCUCAGUAAUAUAAAAUAUUAUAUUAUGAUAGAUUAAAUUAACACUAAUGUAAUGAAGGGAUUGUGCGUAUAUAUAAUGCAUCAAGUAUAUUAAUUAAUUAAAGACAUUACGUUUACAUGGAUGAGUUGGAGAGUGGGCCAAGAAAUGAGUGAAUAGCCCAAACUUCAUAAUUGCUUUCACAAGCAAAUGGGAUAAUCUAUCCCAUAAUUUAGUGUGUACUAUUAUUAAUUUAUUACUACUACUAAUAGUACGUCUAUUCGUGCGAUGCACGACGAAGUUAAUAAAAUUAAAUGACUUUUUAAAUAAAUAAAUAUAAAUAAAUGCAAAAUAAUCAAAAUAUAAAUAAAUGCACAAUAUGGUUUAAAAAUAAAAUAUUAAUUACUCAAUAAAAUUCCGAAUUUAAAAACAUAAUUUCAACAAUGUAUAAAGUGUAAUAAUAAUUAUAGUUAUUAAAUAAUCUUAAAUUAUUUGAUAAUGAAAAUUAUAGACGCGUUAUUAUUAUAGAGUAUUCCACAUAAUAAAUUAAUAAACAUUUUCAUACAUAGACAUAAAUACAAAGGAGACGGAGGAGGGCGGCGGCG
rnacentral:lncRNA from 1 species